rnacentral:rRNA from 1 species
CCAAUAGCGUAUAUUAAAGUUGUUGCAGUUAAAAGGCUCGUAGUUGAAUUUCGGGAUCAGCAGGUUGGUCGUGCCUCUGGUAUGUACCGGCUUCGUUGAUCCCUCCUUUCUGAAGAACUGUAAUGCCAUUAAUUUGGUGUUGCAGGGAAACAGGACUGUUACUUUGAAAAAAUUAGAGUGUUUAAAGCAGGCUAACGCUUGAAUACAUUAGCAUGGAAUAAUGAAAUAGGACGUUCGAUCCUAUUUUGUUGGUUUCUAGGAUUGACGUAAUGAUUAAUAGGGAUAGUUGGGGGCAUUAGUAUUCAAUUGUCAGAGGUGAAAUUCUUGGAUUUAUUGAAGACUGACUACUGCGAAAGCAUUUGCCAAGGAUGUUUUCAUUAAUCAAGAACGAAAGUUAGGGGAUCGAAGACGAUCAGAUACCGUCGUAGUCUUAACCAUAAACUAUGCCGACUAGGGAUCGGAUGAUGUUAAUUUUUUAAUGACUCAUUCGGCGCCUUACG